ACAGAGGAUGCAAGCGUUAUCCGGAAUUACUGGGCGUAAAGCGUCUGCAGGUGGACUUUUAAGUCCUUUGUUAAAGCCUAAGGCCUAACCUUAGUUCAGCAAAGGAAACUGGAAGUCUUGAGGGUGGUAGAGGUAGAGGGAAUUUCCAGUGGAGCGGUGAAAUGCGUAGAUAUUGGAAAGAACACCAAUUGCGAAGGCACUCGACUGGGCCAUUUCUGACACUCAGAGACGAAAGCUAGGGGAGCAAAUGGGAUUAGAUACCCCAGUAGUCCUAGCUGUAAACGAUGGAUACUAGAUGUUGUUAACAGCAGUGUCGUAGCUAACGCGUUAAGUAUCCCGCCUGGGAAGUAUGCUCGCAAGAGU
rnacentral:rRNA from 1 species